AGAACGAACGCUGGCGGCAGGCCUAACACAUGCAAGUCGAACGAGAAGCCACCUUCGGGUGGUGGAAAGUGGCAGACGGGUGAGUAACGCGUGGGAACGUACCCAUUGGUUCGGAACAACUCCGGGAAACUGGAGCUAAAACCGGAUAAGCCCUACGGGGGAAAGAUUUAUCGCCGAAGGAUCGGCCCGCGUCUGAUUAGCUAGUUGGUGAGGUAACGGCUCACCAAGGCUACGAUCCGUAGCUGGUCUGAGAGGAUGAUCAGCCACACUGGGACUGAGACACGGCCCAGACUCCUACGGGAGCAGCAGUGGGGAAUAUUGGACAAUGGGCGCAAGCCUGAUCCAGCCAUGCCGCGUGAGUGAUGAAGGCCUUAGGGUGUAAAGCUCUUUCGCCAGGGACGAUAAUGACGGUACCUGGAUAAGAAGCCCGGCUAACUUCGUGCCAGCAGCCGC
rnacentral:rRNA from 1 species